rnacentral:rRNA from 1 species
UACGUAGGGGGCAAGCGUUGUCCGGAAUCAUUGGGCGUAAAGAGCGUGUAGGUGGCUCGGUAAGUCCGCUGUGAAAGUCCAGGGCUCAACCCUGGAAAGCCGGUGGAAACUGUCGAGCUCGAGUCCGGAAGAGGCGAGUGGAAUUCCUGGUGUAGCGGUGAAAUGCGCAGAUAUCAGGAGGAACACCAAUGGCGAAGGCAGCUCGCUGGGACGGUACUGACGCUGAGGAGCGAAAGCGUGGGGAGCGAACAGG